UACAGAGGGUGCAAGCGUUGUUCGGAAUUAUUGGGCGUAAAGGGCGCGUAGGCGGUGCGGUAAGUCUCUAGUGAAAUCUCCGGGCUCAACUCGGAGCCUGCUAGGGAAACUGCCGUGCUCGAGUGUGGGAGAGGUGAGUGGAAUUCCCGGUGUAGCGGUGAAAUGCGUAGAUAUCGUUUGGAACGCCGAUGGUGAAAACAGGUCGCUGGGGACGUGCUGACGCUGAGACACGAAAGCCAGGGGAGCGAACGGG
rnacentral:rRNA from 1 species